UACGUAGGGGGCUAGCGUUGUCCGGAUUUAUUGGGCGUAAAGAGCGUGUAGGCGGCCAAGCAGGUCCGCUGUGAAAACUCGAGGCUCAACCUCGAGACGUCGGUGGAAACCGUUUGGCUAGAGUCCGGAAGAGGAGAGUGGAAUUCCCGGUGUAGCGGUGAAAUGCGCAGAUAUCGGGAAGAACACCCGUGGCGAAGGCGGCUCUCUGGGACGGUACUGACGCUGAGACCCGAAAGCGUGGGGAGCGAACAGG
rnacentral:rRNA from 1 species